GACGAACGCUGGCGGCGUGCCUAAUACAUGCAAGUAGAACGCUGAAGAGAGGAGCUUGCUCUUCUUGGAUGAGUUGCGCACGGGUGAGUAACGCGUAGGUAACCUGCCUUGUAGCGGGGGAUAACUAUUGGAAACGAUAGCUAAUACCGCAUAACAAUGGAUGACACAUGUCAUUUAUUUGAAAGGGGCAAUUGCUCCACUACAAGAUGGACCUGCGUUGUAUUAGCUAGUAGGUGAGGUAACGGCUCACCUAGGCGACGAUACAUAGCCGCCCUGAGAGGGUGAUCGGCCACACUGGGACUGAGACACGGCCCAGACUCCUACGGGAGGCAGCAGGAGGGAAUCUUCGGCAAUGGGGGCAACACUGACCGAGCAACGCGGCGGGAGUGAAGAAGGUUUUCGGAUCGUAAAGCUCUGUUGUAAGUCAAGAACGAGUGUGAGAGUGGAAAGUUCACACUGUGACGGUAGCUUACCAGAAAGGGACGGCUAACUACGUG
rnacentral:rRNA from 1 species